GUGUGCAAGAUGGGCACGCUGCAUGACAGACAGGCUUUCACAUGAUUACAACAGCUAGUUCCACAAAACAGUUAUCAGAGAAAACAGAAAUGUUAAAAGCGAUGAGGCUCUGAUCCUAAUCUGGGGCUUUCUGUCUCCUCCUUCAUACAUGGGGCCCCCCCGGCUGGUGAAGAGUCUAAUGAAGAAGGAACAGACACAGUCUCACCUGUGCCUUUCUGGCGCGCCAGCCUCUAAUGCUGAAAGGUCAUUAUAAUCCAUGGGAAGAUGCUGCACAGAACCCGCUCGCUGCACUCAUUUGCCAGGUGCAGGGAGCACAGAGCGGGGGAGGAGGGACGGUCCUUAUCCCUAUGAGGGUGGAGCAACAGGGGGGAGGUGAAGAAAGCGGAUGAAGCAGCAUUUGAAGCUCAUACUGACAUGCUGCUCUGCAGGUUCCUGUGAGCACAGCCAUGGAUGGUGUCUUGGAAGCAGCCACAGUGUUGUGUUUAUGUAAGCUGGCCUGCAGUCUUCCCUUCCUGCCCUCACUGGCAGCCUCCAACAGUCCCGUCAGUUUUUGCUGCUGCUGCCUCCUGGUCUUCACAGACUUCCUGGUCACAGUUUUUCUCAGCUUCCUCUGCAUCUCUGAGUCCUGGCUCCCUGAACUGACACCACAGGCAGAUGUCAUCGCCCUGCGCUUCCUGCUCUUCCUCAGCCACACCUAUGGCGUGGUGCUGCUUCUGACCACGCCUCUGAUCGCCGUGGAGACAGUGAUGAGACUGAUGUGGCCUGUUGUCGCUUACAGGAGUCAGACAGCGGGCUCUGAAGGACAGAAUGUGGCGAACGUGGACGAAGAGGAGAGAGACGACGCAGAUAAAGGUGAAGACAAGAGGUCGCCUCAUGUUGUCGGCUACCUCUGCUGCCUGUCAGUGUGGGUCAUCGUCGGUCUCAACGUCAGGUGGAGAUGGAAGAUGGAGGAGGUGUGGGUAGCUGCCUGUGUGGACACAACUAACCUACUUGUCAGGUGUCUGCCCAACCUGCUCAGCCCAAUGCCCACUGCUGUCAAUCCCUGCUGGGGUAUGGCCUUCCUCCUGCUCCUCCUCCUCCUACUGACCACCGGCAUGAGCCUGCAAAGAAGACACAGGGAUGGAACACAAAGAGUUAAUCAUAAGUGCUGGCAAGGCCUGGUUCCAGUAUCGUCUGCACCGUUCAGUCCUAUGAAUCCUGGGAUGUUGCCAUGUGUUGACCCAGAGAAAACAGAGAGCAGCUGCACCGUUCACAGAGCGGAUUCCUGGAACAGUGUGCAGAUGUCAGUGUGUCACCAUGGAGACUUUGUCCUCCUCUCCCCUGCAUGUCUCUCUGGAAAGAGGGGAGGACAGGAGCACGAAAGAACAAAGAGAGGUAUACCUCUGACAUUUAUCACAGAGCAACAGCACGUGGACUCGGGGCCCAGGAGUUGGUGUGGGUGGCGACGGUGGUGGGGCUUUCCCUGCUUGGGGGUGAAUGUAAUGAUAGGUUCUGUGGGUGUGCUCACCAUUUUUGUGCUGCCGCUGAACCUCAGUGUGAAUAUUCUUCUCAUCAGGACUAUAGAGACUCUGCUGGAGUGGUGUGUUGUAACUUUAAUUUCACCUGUGGGAAACACAAGAGACACAUUCAGCUCACACAGGGAAGCAGCAGUUUAACAAGAGACACGUGAGAAGACAAAGUAGAGGCUGAUAGGCUGAAGAUUGCAACAGGAUCAUCAGAUUAAUAUUACAUGUGUGCAGACAGCGGGUAUACCUGUUAACACCGGCUUUGAAUAGAAUGUGAAUAAACAUUUGUGAGCAGCAGCUAUUCA
rnacentral:lncRNA from 1 species